AAGCAAUUAAUUCAAAUUAAGGAAGAAUGUUUCAUUUACGCUGGAAAAGUUAAUGGUUCGAAUCCAUUAUUGCUUAC
rnacentral:tRNA from 1 species